GACGAACGCUGGCGGCGUGCUUAACACAUGCAAGUCGAACGGAAAGGCCCUGCUUUUGUGGGGUGCUCGAGUGGCGAACGGGUGAGUAACACGUGAGUAACCUGCCCUUGACUUUGGGAUAACUUCAGGAAACUGGGGCUAAUACCGGAUAGCAGCUCCUGCUGCAUGGUGGGGGUUGGAAAGUUUCGGCGGUUGGGGAUGGACUCGCGGCUUAUCAGCUUGUUGGUGGGGUAGUGGCUUACCAAGGCUUUGACGGGUAGCCGGCCUGAGAGGGUGACCGGCCACAUUGGGACUGAGAUACGGCCCAGACUCCUACGGGAGGCAGCGGUGGGGAAUAUUGCACAAUGGGCGGAAGCCUGAUGCAGCAACGCCGCGUGCGGGAUGACGGCCUUCGGGUUGUAAACCGCUUUCGCCUGUGACGAAGCGUGAGUGACGGUAAUGGGUAAAGAAGCACCGGCUAACUACGUG
rnacentral:rRNA from 1 species